CUGGAAUAUAAUAGUCCAACCUUCUGCUCUUUCAAUGUAGACUAAGCUACCAGAUCCUGAAAUCCUUACUGUGGCUCCAUAAUAUGGGGAAGCAAAAAAGAAUUACAGGAAGAAUUGUGUGAAAUGAUGCUGAGUGAAGUUAAUGCAAUCUAGAAAAUGACUACCAGAAUGUGAUCAAAAGGAACAAUAUAAUGAAAUAGAAUGGCAUUUAUUUGGGAUGACCAAUCUUGGUCCUAUAGAAGAGGAAAAUGCAUGCCAAGAAAGGCCAGCAACCUUCCAAGAUAUGGCUGUGAGUUGCUUGGUUGGAACAUCACUGAGGUAAACGGAGUCCAUUUAUUUAGUGUAAAUUACAUUUACUCUCUGGGGAAGUAUAAUGAGUAUAAAUGGACUGUAAAAUUAGUUUAUGUCUUCU
rnacentral:lncRNA from 1 species